rnacentral:rRNA from 1 species
AACGAACGCUGGCGGCAGGCUUAACACAUGCAAGUCGAGCGCCCCGCAAGGGGAGCGGCAGACGGGUGAGUAACGCGUGGGAACGUACCUUUUGGUUCGGAACAACUCCGGGAAACUGGAGCUAAUACCGGAUAAGCCCUAACGGGGAAAGAUUUAUCGCCGAAAGAUCGGCCCGCGUCUGAUUAGCUAGUUGGUGAGGUAACGGCUCACCAAGGCGACGAUCAGUAGCUGGUCUGAGAGGAUGACCAGCCACACUGGGACUGAGACACGGCCCAGACUCCUACGGGAGGCAGCAGUGGGGAAUAUUGGACAAUGGGCGCAAGCCUGAUCCAGCCAUGCCGCGUGAGUGAUGAAGGCCUUAGGGUUGUAAAGCUCUUUUGUCCGGGAAGAUAAUGACUGUACCGGAAGAAUAAGCCCCGGCUAACUUCGUG